UGUUGGUACCAAGGUUCUCUGUGGGGUGCAGGGAUGACCACUGGAGAAAAGGCCAGCCCUGCCUUCCGCUGCUGCCUCAGGCUGGUCCCCGUGCCUCGCUCAGGCGGGCCAGUGACCCUCCUCACCAGCCAUGGCUUCUCUUGUGACAGGCCCAACGGCAGGCCAGGUCCUGAACCCCGCAGGGAGGCCGGCCUAUCAGGUCUUCACAUGGCUGGGGGCACAGCCAGCCACCAGCAUCCUUGUGCUGUCCCCAUGGGGAAGAGAAGGGAACGAUGUGUUCAUAGACGCCAGGGCAAGUGGGCACGGGCAGCGCACGGAGGAAAAAGUGACUCCAAUCAGAAGGGGAGUGGGUCUUGGCAAUACACGUCUGGGUGGUCAGUCCCCAGAGGUGGGCACUGGGCUGAGCUCUCUCUCAUCCGACGCCACCCCUGGGUGACGGGAUGAGGGAGCAACUGAGAGCCGGCAGUGAGGUGACACACCCAAGGUCACGCCACCAGCAGAGGUAGCUGGUCACGCUGCUGAGAGCCGGCAGGAAAUAGAUGCGGACAAAGCAGGGUCGGUUUUCAGCUUCUCUCCACGGAAAGGCCGGCUGAAGUUUCCCUCACCACGCAGAAAUCGAUAAGCAGGAGGUUUUUAAAAACCACCUCCCCAUUGAACCUGCCACUGCCGGAGCUGAAGCUGGGCUGCCAGGGGGAGGGCACCGCUGAGGCCUUCUAGGCCCAGACGGGCUGAGAGAGCCCCCGCCCCCCACCCCAGCCUCACCCUCCACCCGAGGCCCCUGUCAUGGGUGUGGGUGACUCAGAGGAAGUUCUGGUUUCUGUCAGAUUUUGAGGCUGAGGCAACCUGAUCCUGAAACAAUGACAAGCCUCAGAACGGUCCUUCCCACUCCCUCAGAGGAGCGUUUCAGGCCUGGCCAAUAACACAGCAGAACGGAAAAUGACUUUGGGAAGGAAAGGUCAGGCGGCUAGGCCUCCCAUGGAAGGCAGCAGGCGGUUGCUCAGGUCAGAGGGCCAAGUGGCGCGGUCUGUGGGCACCGGCAGCUGGCAGUGACCCUGCAGAUCAACCUGGGCCCGGGCUGCAGACACCAAGCAGGGGCACCUGCCUGGCCUGGCUGCCUCAUGUGGCCCCCACAGCCUUUGUCAGGACACCUCAGGACAGUGGCCUGGCCUCUAGGCCAGUGGGCCAGCUCGGGGUGCUAAAGCCUAAUUUGCCUGGAGCCCCGGGCCACUCAUAGAUUCAGGAGGAAGAGGUGGGGUAGAGGUGGCAGAGGGAGAGCAGAGCCUGGCACACAGCAUUUGGCACCAUAACUGAGGCAGCUGCUUUCCUUAAGGAGCUGCCACUGACAGGAUCAGCACUUACAGAGCCCCUGCUGUAUGCCAGGAAGUACAUUUAUUAUUGCUUCUUGUCACAUUGGCCCUGCCAGGUAUGUACCCCAAACAUUAGCCUCAUUUCACAGAUAAGAAAAUUGAGGCUUCCGUGAUUAAGCAGAGGCUGUGAUGUCCCAUCCAGAGCCCCAGCCACCCAGCUCUCCUGCAGGACAGGAGAUACCUACUAGCCUGCUUCUCGAUUAUUCUUUUCUUCCCUGCCACCUUGGGAAUAUCCCUCCCACUUGCAAGCACAGGUCGGCUAUGCCAGGGGAGUCUGUGCCCCAGGGCCCCUUCAUCCAUGGGGAUGGGAGUCUGUAGAAAUGCUCACCUCCGCCCUCUCCAGUGGGGACAUUGGAGGCCUGUGUCCCACAGUCUCCCUGAGGGCCCAGUGGGUUGAGCCCAUUGCCCGCAGUGGAAACCCCUCAUUCAUGGACCUGUCUCCCUCCCCUGCCUCCCCCUCCACCUCCACCCCUAAAGUUGUGUUAUGGAAGUGAACUUGUUCCUGACUGGCAGAUGGAUUUAAAUGUAAGAGUGGUCCAUGGGCCCCUCCACGGAGCUGAUGCUGCCCCAGCAUCCUUCCUAUGGCCCUUCAGCCUCUGGCUAUUGGUCUUCCUGUAUCCAUGCACGGCUGAGCUGGAGGCCAACACAGGAGCAGCCAUUCCAGGCAGGUCUGGGCAGGGGUCCCUGGCGUGUAGCUCUGGAGGGAGUGGGGCUGUGUAAGCUCAGCGUCUUGUCUCCCUCACUGAAAAUACAGGACACAAUGGAACAGAAUAGAGAGCCCAGAAAUAAGGCUGAACACCUACAACCAUCUGAUCUUCAACAAAGCUGACAAAAACAAGCAAUGGGGAAAGGACUUCCUUUCAAUAAAUGGUGCUGGGAUAGCUGGCUAGCCAUAUGCAGAAAAUUGAAACUGGACCCCUACCUUACACCAUAUACAAAAAUCAACUCUAGAUGAAGUAAAGACUUAAAGGGAAAAUCUAAAACUAUAAACACCCUGGAAGACACCUUAGUAAAUACCAUUCUGGACAUAGAACUUGGAAAUAUUUCAUGAUAAAGAUGCCAAAGCAAUUGCAACAAAAACAAAAAUUGACAAAUGGAAUCUAAUAAAACUAAAGCACUUCUGCACAGCAAAUCAACAGAAUAAACAGACAACCUAAGAGUAGGAGAAGAUAUUUGCAAACUAUGCAUCUGACAAAGAUCUAAUAUCCAGCAUCUAUAAGGAACUUAAACAAAUGUACAAGCAAAAAACAACCCCAUUCAGAAGUGGGCAAAAGACAUAAACAGACACUUCUCAAAAGAAGACAUACAUGCGGCCAAAAAGCAUAUGAAAAAAUGCUGAAUAUCACUAAGCAUUAGAGAAAUGCAAAUCAAAACCACAAUGAGAUACCAUUGCACACCAAUCAAAAUGCCUAUUUUUUUUUUUUUUUUUUUUGAGACUGAGUUUCGCUCUUUUGCCUGGACUGGAGUGCAGCAGCGCAAUCUCCACUCACUGCAACCUCUGCCUUCCAGUUUCAAGGGAUUCUCCUGCCUCAGCCUCCCAAGUAGCUGGGAUUACAGGCGCCCACCACCACGCCUGGCUAAUUUUUGUAUUUUUAGUAGAGACGGGGUUUCACCACGUUGGCCAGCCUGCUCUUGAACUCCUGGCCUCGUGAUCCACCUCAGCCUCCCAAAGUGCUGGGAUUACAGGUGUAAGCCACUGUGCCCAGCCUGCAGAAUGACUAUUAUUUAAAAGACAAAAAAAAAAAAACAAACCCUGGUGAGGUUGUGGAGAAUAGGAAACACUUAUACACUGUUCAUGGGAGUAUAAAUUAUCUCAGCCAUUGUGGAAAGCAGUGUGGUGAUUCCUCAAAGAACAGAACUACCAUUCAACCCAGCAAUCCUAUUUCUGGGUAUAUACCCCAAAGAAUAUAAAUUGUUCUAUCAUAAAGACACAUGAACACAUACGUUAAUUGCAGCACUAUUCACAAUAGCAAAGAUAUGGAACCAACCUAAAUGCCCAUCAACAGUAGACUGGAUAAAGAAAAUGUGUUACAUAUACACCAGGGAAUACUAUGCAGCCAUAAAAAAGAAUGAGAUCAUGUCCUUUGUGGGAAUGUGGAUGGAACUGGAGCCCAUUAUCCUUAGCAGAGUAAUGCAGGAGACCCAAAUACCACAUGUAUGUUCUCACUUAUAAAUGGGAGCUAAAUGAUAACACAUGGACACACCAAGAGGGGAACAACACACACUGGGGCCUCCUUGAGAGUGGAGAGUGGGAGGAGGGAAAGGAGCAGAAAAACUACCUGUCUGAACUGUGCUUAUCACCUGAGUGACAAAGCAGUCUUUACAGCAACCUCCCGUGACACACAGUUUAUCUAUAUAACAAAUCUACAUAUGUACCCUUGAACCUAAAAUAAAAGUUCAAAAAAAAAAAAAAGAAAAUGGAAAACACAGGACACUGUCCCUCUCCCUCCCCCAGUCAACCCAAGCUGAGAUUUUUCAAGGCCUCUACACCUCUUUUAAAUAAUUCCCAGAUGAUUGAAUUCCCAGAUUGAAGCAAAUGCUCCCAAACAGUGGAGCAACUCGGCCCUGGGGUCUUAAGCCCCCACCUUCCCCAAGAAACGAGACUGGCCUCCUCCUUUUUGCAGGGCAGUGUGGAGCAGUGGAGGAGCAGAGGCAGUGGGCUCCACUCGCAGCUGUGUGGCCUUGAGCAAUGGCAUCUGCCAUUGCUGAGGCUUGAGUAGGUAAACAAAGCUGCCGGGAAGCUCAAACUGGGUGGAGCCCACCGCAGCUCAAAGAGGCCUGCCGACCUCUGUAGACUCCACCUCUGGGGGCAGGGCAUAGCUGAACAAAAGGCAGCAGAAACUUCUGCAGACUUAAACAUCCCUGUCUGACAGCUUUGAAGAGAUUAGU
rnacentral:lncRNA from 1 species